UACAAAGAUAUCUCCUUUCACAUCUUCUUGUAUCCCAACCAUUUGUCUUAGAACUACUUCUAAAGCACAUAUAACAAUUGUCACACUUAUACUACCCAGUAAAUUCUCUUGAAACGUCCCCAUACAAAGGCAACUCCACUAAACUGUUUUCUAGCUCUUCUUUACUAUUAAUUUACUUAUUUGUGACAGGAGGUGAUGAAAUCUUCUGAAGGUAGGCUCAAAGCGCUCUGUGGAAUGAUUUUCAUUUUGCAGAGAGACACUGCAUGCUGACCUAAAGUCAGUUGCACAUGAUAGCAGAGCAACUUGCAGGAUAUGUCUCUCCAUGGCUGGGAAAAGCUUUGUUAGAGAAGCUCAUGAUGUAAGGAAAUUCUUAUCACUGUUUACAAAGGGGGAAGAACUUGGCCCAAGGAACGUCUGAUUUAUACACACAAACCUUGUCACCCCACCAGAGCUGAUGCUUUUGUGCUAAGACCUGGCACUUCUCCAAGGAGGUGUGUCAAAGGUGAAGGAACAUGGCACAGAAGUAUCCUAUUGUGUUGUAACAGUCUUGUUGGAGCCCAGAAGGUGUGUCUCUGCCCUUAUAAAUACCGCACUGCCUUUACAAGUAGCUCCAGUCCUUCUGAGAGAGACGACCUGCAUCUUGAGUGGAGUUUGGAUACCUCUGGCUCCUGGGCAAGGCAAAUAACGAGCAAA
rnacentral:lncRNA from 1 species